GACGAACGCUGGCGGCGUGCUUAACACAUGCAAGUCGAACGAAGUGGCGAACGGGUGAGUAACGCGUAAUCCACCUGCACUUCAGAGGGGGACAACAGUUGGAAACGACUGCUAAUAACGCAUACAAAAGGAGGGGAUUGCGUCGGAGUGGCUAGGUGGAGGGGUAACGGCCAACCAAGGCGAUGGGAAGUAGCCGGUCUGAGAGGAUGAACGGCCACAUGGGGACUGAGACACGGCCCAGACUCCUACGGGAGGCAGCAGUGGGGAAUCUUCCGCAAUGGACGAAAGUCUGACGGAGCAACGCCGCGUGAGUGAUGACGGCCUUCGGGUUGUAAAGCUCUGUUAAUCGGGACGCGGUACCGGAAUAGAAAGCCACGGCUAACUACGUGCCAGCCGCCGCGGUAAUUC
rnacentral:rRNA from 1 species